AGAGUUUGAUCCUGGCUCAGGAUGAACGCUGGCGGCAUGCCUAAUACAUGCAAGUCGAACGAGAGACCUUCGGGUCUCUAGUGGCGAACGGGUGAGUAACACGUAGGGAACCUGCCCGUGCACCGGGAAUACGCUCUGGAAACGGAGAACAAAUCCCGAUGUACAGGAAGGAGGCAUCUUCUUUCUGUGAAACAUCCUUUAGGGGAUGGGGCGCGGAUGGACCUGCGGUGCAUUAGUUGGUUGGCGGGGUAAAGGCCAACCAAGACGAUGAUGCAUAGCCGGCCUGAGAGGGCGGACGGCCACAUUGGGACUGAGACACGGCCCAGACUCCUGCGGGAGGCAGCAGUAGGGAAUUUUCGUCAAUGGGCGCAAGCCUGAACGAGCGAUGCCGCGUGAGUGAAGAAGGCCUUCGGGUCGUAAAGCUCUGUUGCGGGGGAAAAAAGGCAGCAUCAGGAAAUGGGUGCUGACUGAUGGUGCCCCGCCAGAAAGUCACGGCUAACUACGUGCCAGCAGCCGCGGUAAUACGUAGGUGGCGAGCGUUAUCCGGAAUGAUUGGGCGUAAAGGGUGCGCAGGCGGUCCUGCAAGUCUGGAGUGAAACGCAUGAGCUCAACUCAUGCAUGGCUUUGGAAACUGGAGGACUGGAGAGCAGGAGAGGGCGGUGGAACUCCAUGUGUAGCGGUAAAAUGCGUAGAUAUAUGGAAGAACACCAGUGGCGAAGGCGGCCGCCUGGCCUGUUGCUGACGCUGGGGCACGAAAGCGUGGGGAGCAAACAGGAUUAGAUACCCUGGUAGUCCACGCCGUAAACGAUGAUUACUAGGUGUCGCGGAACGAAGUUCUGCGGUGCCGUCGCAAACGCAAUAAGUAAUCCGCCUGGGGAGUAUGCACGCAAGUGUGAAACUCAAAGGAAUUGACGGGAGCCCGCACAAGCAGUGGAGUAUGUGGUUUAAUUCGACGCAACGCGAAGAACCUUACCGGAGCUUGACAUCCCUCUGACAGCCGAGUAAUGUUGGUUUUCCUUCGGGACAGAGGAGACAGGUGGUGCAUGGUUGUCGUCAGCUCGUGUCGUGAGAUGUUGGGUUAAGUCCCGCAACGAGCGCAACCCUUACGGUCAGUUGCUACGCAAGAGCACUCUGGCCGGACUGCCGUUGACAAAACGGAGGAAGGUGGGGACGACGUCAAAUCAUCAUGCCCCUUACGCCCCGGGCUACACACGUACUACAAUGGCGCAAACAAAGGGAAGCGAAGCCGCGAGGUGGAGCAAAUCCCAUAAAAGGCGUCCCAGUUCGGAUUGCAGGCUGCAACCCGCCUGUAUGAAGUUGGAAUUGCUAGUAAUCGCGGAUCAGCAUGCCGCGGUGAAUACGUUCCCGGGCUUUGCACUCACCGCCCGUCA
rnacentral:rRNA from 1 species